GAGAGAGGAAGGACGGCCGCCGGGUCUGUUGACCUGAGGAAAGUCUCCCCACCGUAAAAAUACACGAACGCCUGUAAAGGGCGUCAGGCGAGAGCCUGGGCAAUGGCACAGAAACGCUAUCGCCCCAUGUCAAUGCGGUGAUACCUGAUGGUUGAGGUCGCAUGGUGGCGAAUGGAACGGCGAAUCCUCGUGGGUGCAAGUCAGUUCCGGGAAAUGUGCCCGGAAAAUUUUAAUUGACGCUAAGCUGAAUACCGUCGCUGCAAGCGCUCGUUAUUUGAUGAGCCGUUCUGCAUCGUCUACAUGAUGCGGAACUUUUGCAGUAACAGAAGGGAGCUUACUCUCCUCACUC
rnacentral:RNase_P_RNA from 2 species